rnacentral:rRNA from 1 species
UACGUAGGGUGCGAGCGUUGUCCGGAAUUAUUGGGCGUAAAGAGCUCGUAGGCGGUUUGUUGCGUCUAUCGUGAAAACCUGCAGCUUAACUGUGGGCUUGCGGUGGAUACGGGCAGACUUGAGUUCGGUAGGGGAGACUGGAAUUCCUGGUGUAGCGGUGAAAUGCGCAGAUAUCAGGAGGAACACCGGUGGCGAAGGCGGGUCUCUGGGCCGAUACUGACGCUGAGGAGCGAGAGCGUGGGGAGCGAACAGG